GUAAACCAGAUAAUCGCUGGUAUUUUAUAUACGAGAGGAAAGUCCGGGCUCCAUAGGGCAGGGUGCCAGCUAACGGCUGGUGGAGGCGACUCUAAGGAAAGUGCAACAGAGAGAUACCGCUUGCUUUUUAGCAAGUAAGGGUGGAAAGGCAGGGUAAGAGCCUACCAGAAACAUGGAGACAUGUUUGCUAUGUAAACCCCACUCGGAGCAACAUCGUGGUAGAAGUAUUAGGCGGCCCGUCUAGCUUCUUAAUGAAGAUGGCUUGAGGCGUAUAGCAAUAUGCGUCCUAGAUAAAUGAUUAUCUAAUACAGAACCCGGCUUAUAGAUUUACUCUA
rnacentral:RNase_P_RNA from 1 species